GUAGGUGAACCUGCGGAAGGAUCAUUAUCGAAUAAACUUUGAGCAGGCUGUUUGCUGGCCCUUGUCAUGGGGGUAUGUGCACGCUUGUCCUUUGUUAUUUCUCCAACCUGUGCACACUUUGUAGACCCUGGAGAUUUUAUGAAUUUUCAUUCGAGUUGGGAUUGCUGUGCUUGACACUCAGGAAAGUCAGCUUUGCCUUGCCAUCUUCAGGUCUAUGUCAUUUUAUCACAACCUCUUUAAACAUGUUCAGAAUGUUGGAUCAGGUCCUUUUUGUACCUAUAGAAAUGAAAUAUACAACUUUCAGCAACGGAUCUCUUGGCUCUC
rnacentral:misc_RNA from 1 species